CUACGGGACGCACCAGUGGGGAACAUUGCACAAUGGGCGCAAGCCUGAUGCAGCAACGCCGCGUGAGGGAUGAAGGCCUUCGGGUUGUAAACCUCUUUUAGCAGGGAAGAAGCGAAAGUGACGGUACCUGCAGAAAAAGCACCGGCUAACUACGUGCCAGCAGCCGCGGUAAUACGUAGGGUGCAAGCGUUGUCCGGAAUUAUUGGGCGUAAAGAGCUCGUAGGCGGUUUGUCACGUCUGCUGUGAAAAUCCAAGGCUCAACCUUGGACUUGCAGUGGGUACGGGCAGGCUCGAGUGCGGUAGGGGAGAUGGGAAUUCCUGGUGUAGCGGUGGAAUGCGCAGAUAUCAGGAGGAACACCAAUGGCGAAGGCGCAUCUCUGGGCCGUAACUGACGCUGAGGAGCGAAAGCGUGGGGAGCGAACAGGAUUAGAUACCCCUGUAGUC
rnacentral:rRNA from 1 species